UGAUGAAGAGAUAGAGCUUCAAGAUUAUGAGGUCCCUGACAGUGGGGAUUCCAGUGUGCAACAUUCCCGUUUCAUCGAGAAGGCCCUCGAAGUAUUAGUUCCAAUGCUGCUGGAAACUUUAUUGAAACAGGAUGAGGAACAGGAUCAAGAUGAUGACAUCUGGAAUCUGGCUAUGGCUGGUGGAACAUGUCUUGGUCUUGUCGCCAGAACUGUUGGAGAUGCUGUUGUUCCCCUUGUAAUGCCUUUUGUGGAG
rnacentral:misc_RNA from 1 species